rnacentral:rRNA from 1 species
AUUGAACGCUGGCGGCAGGCCUAACACAUGCAAGUCGUACGAGAGGCGGACGGGUGAGUAAUGUAUGGGAAUCUGCCUGAUGGAGGGGGAUAACUACUGGAAACGGUAGCUAAUACCGCAUACCAUCGGAUGAACACAUAUGGGAUUAGCUAGUAGGUGAGGUAAAGGCGCACCUAGGCGACGAUCCCUAGCUGGUCUGAGAGGAUGAUCAGCCACACUGGGACUGAGACACGGCCCAGACUCCUACGGGAGGCAGCAGUGGGGAAUAUUGCACAAUGGGCGCAAGCCUGAUGCAGCCAUGCCGCGUGUAUGAAGAAGGCCUUCGGGUUGUAAAGUACUUUCAGUCGGGAGGCGUUACCCACAGAAGAAGCACCGGCUAACUCCGUGCCAGCAGCCGCGGUAAUUC